rnacentral:rRNA from 1 species
AACGAACGCUGGCGGCAGGCCUAACACAUGCAAGUCGAACGCCCCGCAAGGGGAGUGGCAGACGGGUGAGUAACGCGUGGGAACCUUCCCAAAGGUGCGGAAUAGCUCAGGGAAACUUGGGGCAAUACCGCAUAAUGCCGAGAGGCAAAAGAUUUAUCGCCUUUGGAUGGGCCCGCGUCGGAUUAGCUAGUUGGUGAAGAAACGGCUCACCAAGGCGACGAUCCGUAGCCGGUUUGAGAGAAUGACCAGCCACACUGGGACUGAGACACGGCCCAGACUCCUACGGGAGGCAGCAGUGGGGAAUCUUGGACAAUGGGCGCAAGCCUGAUCCAGCCAUGCCGCGUGAGUGACGAAGGCCUUAGGGUUGUAAAGCUCUUUUGCCGGGGACGAUAAUGACGGUACCCGGAGAAUAAGUCCCGGCUAACUUCGUGCCAGCAGCCGCGGUAA